AACGAACGCUGGCGGCAUGCCUAACACAUGCAAGUCGAACGAGACCUUCGGGUCUAGUGGCGCACGGGUGCGUAACGCGUGGGAACCUUCCCUUAGGUUCGGAAUAACUCCCCGAAAGGGGUGCUAAUACCGGUUAAUGUCUUCUGACCAAAGAUUUAUCGCCUUUGGAUGGGCCCGCGUUGGAUUAGAUUGUUGGUAGGGUAAAAGCCUACCAAGGCGACGAUCCAUAGCUGGUAUGAGAGGAUGAUAAGCCACACUGGGACUGAGACACGGCACAGACUAAUACGGGAGGAAGCAGUGGGGAAUAGUGGAAAAUGGGCGAAAGCCUGAUAAAGCAAUGCCGCGUGAGUGAUGAAGGGCUUAGGGUUGUAAAGCUCUUUUACACGGGAUGAUAAUGACAGUACCGGGAGAAUAAGCACCGGCUAACUACGUG
rnacentral:rRNA from 1 species